UUGAACGCUGGCGGCAUGCCUUACACAUGCAAGUCGAGCGGCAGCGCGGGGCAACCUGGCGGCGAGCGGCGAACGGGUGAGUAAUGCAUCGGAACAUGUCCAUGUCGUGGGGGAUAGCCCGGCGAAAGCCGGAUUAAUACCGCAUACGCCCGAGAGGGGAAAGUGGGGGACCGCAAGGCCUCACGCGAUUGGGUUGGCCGAUGUCCGAUUAGCUUGUUGGUGAGGUAAAGGCUUACCAAGGCGAUGAUCGGUAGCUGGUCUGAGAGGAUGAUCAGCCACACUGGGACUGAGACACGGCCCAGACUCCUACGGGAGGCAGCAGUGGGGAAUUUUGGACAAUGGGGGCAACCCUGAUCCAGCCACUCCGCGUGAGUGAAGAAGGCCUUCGGGUUGUAAAGCCCUUUUGUCCGGAGCGAAACGGUUACGGUGAAUAUCCGUGACUACUGACGGUACCGGAAGAAUAAGCACCGGCUAACUACGU
rnacentral:rRNA from 1 species